rnacentral:tRNA from 1 species
GGAGAGGUGCGUGAGUGGUUGAAACGGCAGUCCUGGAAAGACUGUAUACCGGAAACGGUAUCGAGGGUUCAAAUCCCUCCCUCUCCG